GGAAGCGUGCCCGAAAGAUAAG
rnacentral:tRNA from 1 species